rnacentral:rRNA from 1 species
GGACCCGCACAAGUAGUGGAGCAUGUGGUUUAAUUCGAAGAUACGCGCAGAACCUUACCAACACUUGACAUGUUCGUCGCGACUUUAAGAGAUUAAAGUUUUCGGUUCGGCCGGACGAAACACAGGUGCUGCAUGGCUGUCGUCAGCUCGUGUCGUGAGAUGUUGGUUAAGUCCCGCAACGAGCGCAACCCUCACUUUUAGUUGCCAUCAUUAAGUUGGGCACUCUGAAAGAACUGCCAGUGAUAAGCUGGAGGAAGGUGGGGAUGACGUCAAGUCCUCAUGGCCCUCACGUGUUGGGCUACACACGUGCUACAAUGGUAUCUACAACAGGAAGCAAAACCCGCGAGGUUAAG